UUGCCAGCCCGCUCAGAAACUUAAAGGAAGUUGACGGGGCCCGCACAAGCGGAGGAGCAUGUGGUUUAAUUCGAUGAUACGCGAGGAACCUUACCUGGGCUCGAACGUAAGAUGACUGUAGGUGAAAGCUUACAUCUCUUCGGAGCAUUUUACGAGGUGCUGCAUGGUUGUCGUCAGCUCGUGCCGUGAGGUGUCGGGUUAAGUCCCAUAACGAGCGCAACCCUACCUUUAGUUGCCAUCAGGUAAUGCUGGGGACUCUAAAGGAACUGCCUACGCAAGUAGUGAGGAAGCGGGGAUGACGUCAAAUCAGCACGGUCCUUACGUCCAGGGCUACACACGUGCUACAAUGGCCGAUACAGAGGGCAGCUACCUGGUGACAGGAUGCAAAUCUCCAAAGUCGGUCUCAGUUCGGAUCGGAGUCUGCAACCCGACUCCGUGAAGUUGGAUUCGCUAGUAAUCGCGCAUCAGCCAUGGCGCGGUGAAUACGUUCCCGGGCCUU
rnacentral:rRNA from 1 species